rnacentral:rRNA from 1 species
GAUGAACGCUGGCGGCGUGCCUAAUACAUGCAAGUCGAACGAAACUUCUUUAUCACCGAGUGCUUGCACUCACCGAUAAAGAGUUGAGUGGCGAACGGGUGAGUAACACGUGGGCAACCUGCCCAAAAGAGGGGGAUAACACUUGGAAACAGGUGCUAAUACCGCAUAACCAUAGUUACCGCAUGGUAACUAUGUAAAAGGUGGCUAUACUACCGCUUUUGGAUGGGCCCGCGGCGCAUUAGCUAGUUGGUAGGGUAAAGGCUUACCAAGGCAAUGAUGCGUAGCCGAAGUGAGAGGUUGAUCGGCCACAUUGGGACUGAGACACGGCCCAAACUCCUACGGGAGGCAGCAGUAGGGAAUCUUCCACAAAGGGCGAAAGCCUGAUGGAGCAACGCCGCGUGGGUGAAGAAGGUCUUCGGAUCGUAAAACCCUGUUGUUAGAGAAGAAAGUGCGUGAGAGUAACUGUUCACGUUUCGACGGUAUCUAACCAGAAAGCCACUGCUAACUACGUG